CUCUACGUAAUAUCUCCAAAUUGAAUAGUUUAUGUAACCCACAUUAUAUAUACAUGUAUAUACGUUGAAAGCCGAUUUUCCGAAAAUAUACAAGUUUCUCUUAUUAACUUUAGCAGUCUAAAAGGUCUUGCACUUACUUUUUUGGAUUUUCAGCCAUUAAACGUAUGAAUCCUAUUUCAAAACGAGUCUCUGGAAUAACGAUCUUACAAAUGCGAUGACUAGCCGAAAAAAAUCCGCAAAACAAAUAGUCCUGUCUUUUUAUGCCUACGGUAUAAACACCACGUUCACUUAGUUUAUAUUGAUCAAAAUUAAUAGCAACUGUAUUUAAAAUAAAUAAUAAAAAAGAUUAGUAAGUUGAUAAAUUAUCGUUCUUACCUCUACGUAAUAUCUCCAAAUUGAAUUUUGAAAGCCGAUUUUCCGAAAAUAUACAAGUUGCUCUUAUUAACUUUAUAGAAAUCUAGAAAUUGGAACAUUCUAGGAUGAUUAAUUUGUCUUUCAAAUUGUUACCUUAAAUUUUACAUAAUCUUCGACAUACAGAUUGAAACAAUUAACUGUACGUCUAAUAAAAAACAUCUGUCCUAGAAAUAAAUGUAUGUUUUAUAAAAAAAAAAAUGCAACUUAUCUGCGUGUUCAUACUAUUCCCAUCAGCCUUAAUUAGUCUUUAGAACUUUCUUCAAAAAAAAUAUUUUCUGUACAUCUUAUGUUUCGAGGUGUUUUUUUGGGAGAUGGUCGCCGUGUUGUUGGGUUUAUUUCUCAGUGACAAUUUUUUUAAAGUUUAAAAUAUUUAGGAUUGCAAUUUUAUUAGCACUCAUUAUAAUUUCACCAU
rnacentral:lncRNA from 1 species